rnacentral:rRNA from 1 species
GACGAACGCUGGCGGCGUGCUUAACACAUGCAAGUCGAACGGAAAGGCCCUGCUUGCAGGGUGCUCGAGUGGCGAACGGGUGAGUAACACGUGGGUGAUCUGCCCCUUACUUUGGGAUAAGCCUGGGAAACUGGGUCUAAUACUGGAUAGGACCAUGCUGUAGGUGGUGUGGUGGAAAGAUUUUUUCGGUAAGGGAUGAGCUCGCGGCCUAUCAGCUUGUUGGUGGGGUAAUGGCCUACCAAGGCGUCGACGGGUAGCCGGCCUGAGAGGGUGGACGGCCACAUUGGGACUGAGAUACGGCCCAGACUCCUACGGGAGGCAGCAGUGGGGAAUAUUGCACAAUGGGCGCAAGCCUGAUGCAGCGACGCCGCGUGGGGGAUGACGGCCUUCGGGUUGUAAACUCCUUUCAGCCAUGACGAAGCCCUUUUGGGGUGACGGUAGUGGUAGAAGAAGCACCGGCUAACUACGUGCCAGCCGCCGCCGUAACAC